rnacentral:misc_RNA from 1 species
GAUGAAGAACGUAGCGAAAUGCGAUACUUGGUGUGAAUUGCAGAAUCCCGUGAACCAUCGAGUCUUUGAACGCAAGUUGCGCCCGAAGCCAUCAGGUUGAGGGCACGUCUGCCUGGGCGUCACAUAUCGUUGCCCAAUGCCUAUUGCAGUGCAAUAGGAAUUUCUAGGGCGAAUGAUGGCUUCCCGUGAGCGUUGUUGCCUCGCGGUUGGUUGAAAAUCGAGUCCUUGAUAGGGUGUGCCAUGGUAGAUGGUGGUCGAGUUAGAACGAUACCGAUCAUGUGCAUGCUCCCCAAAAUAUGGCCUCUAUGACCCACACGCGUCUUUUGACGCUCAUGACGAGACCUCAGGUCAGGCGGGGCUACCCGCUGAAUUUAAGCAUAUCAAUAAGCGGAGA